rnacentral:sRNA from 1 species
UUUCUUUCCCCUUUUAAAAUAAUCAGUGCACAUACAGAUGAUCCUCCCUGUAAUUUUCCACGGCUUUCUUGAACUGUGCAGUUUCCAGAAGAAUUAAACUGGCAGAAAUUUUUCAUGCAGAUACAAAAACAGUUCAAGAAAGCUGUGAAAAACCACCGGCAGGAUCUGAGUUGUUCAUAAAAAGAUUCUGAUUGUCUCCUUCAAGCUUCUAUGCCCUCCCAUGGCUACUGGUUUUCUUCUGCAGUACUUUUGCAGGAAUAUCCUCAUUCCAGCUCUAUAUAACACAUACGCUUUUGUGUUUAUGAUGUGUUUUAGCCUUUUUCUCUCUUUAUGUAUCUUUAUAGGGUUGUGAUUUCCGCACUCACUUUUUCUCCCAUUGUACUCUUUCAUGUUUUUAUUAUAGGGUUUGGAUUGAAUAAGUCCACGGAGAAUCAAGGAAAAGAAUGAAGGUGUACCGAAGGAGAAAACGCGAGUGUGAAAUUGCAAGAUUAAACCCGCAAAUUCUUGACAAGAAAGACUUGCACAUGAAUCGUAGGCUGAUCGACAACACAAUUAAAGGUCAACAGUCUUGAAUUCGAUGGCCGUACACUCAUAUUAAUCAGUGUAUUAUAGUACCAAAAUAGGCGGUUGAGUCAUUUACAAAGUGUAUUUCCCUAGCUUGAUUCCUCUUGAAGAAACAAGGCACCUAUGUCUAUGUGAUUGCAAUAUUCAUCAAGGCAGACUAUAGGCACUGAAUGAUCAGCUUCAAGCUUGUCAUGUUCUCCUAUAGGGGCUAUGGGAAAAAUAUAAGUCCUUUUCCAUAUAAGAAGGUCAAUAUUAUUAAUAGGCCGGUUUAGGGCAGAUACUAGGCCUGGUUUUAGGCUGUUAGGUCUGUAGCUCUACCCAGGCAUCCACUUUUUGUCAUGUUUGAUUUUCUUUUCUGAACGCAGGUUCAUGCUCUUUACGGAUUCUUGUCUGUGAUGUAUCAUUGUAAAACAUUGAAAGUUAAAGUAUAAAUGAAUGAGAAUAAUAACACCUUCCU